rnacentral:tRNA from 2 species
GCCAACGUUGCACAGCUGGUAGUGCUCCUGAUUUGUAAUCAGGUGGUCGGGAGUUCAAAUCUCUCCGUUGGCUCCA